rnacentral:rRNA from 1 species
GUGUCUUCGAGUCGUUGAUUUCACACUGCCGAGAAAAGCCUCUAGAUAGAAAAUAGGUGCCCGUACCGCAAACCGACACAGGUAGUCAAGAUGAGAAUUCUAAGGUGAGCGAGCGAACUCUCGUUAAGGAACUCGGCAAAAUGACCCCGUAACUUCGGGAGAAGGGGUGCUCUUUAGGGUUAACGCCCAGAAGAGCCGCAGUGAAUAGGCCCAAGCGACUGUUUAUCAAAAACACAGGUCUCUGCUAAACCGUAAGGUGAUGUAUAGGGGCUGACGCCUGCCCGGUGCUGGAAGGUUAAGAGGAGUGGUUAGCUUCUGCGAAGCUACGAAUCGAAGCCCCAGUAAACGGCGGCCGUAACUAUAACGGUCCUAAGGUAGCGAAAUUCCU